UACGUAGGGUGCGAGCGUUGCCCGGAUUUAUUGGGCGUAAAGGGCGCGCAGGCGGCCACGCACGUCCGUUGUGAAAUCGCUCGGCUCAACUGGGCAGGGUCAGCGGAUACGGCGCGGCUGGAGCAAGCUAGGGGGCAAUGGAAUUCCCGGUGUAGUGGUGGAAUGCGUAGAUAUCGGGAGGAACACCAGUGGCGAAGGCGGUUGCCUGGAGCUUUGCUGACGCUGAGGCGCGAAAGCGUGGGGAGCGAUCCGG
rnacentral:rRNA from 1 species